rnacentral:tRNA from 1 species
GCCGCCAUCGUCUAAUGGUUAGGACGCAUGGUUCUCAUCCAUGUAACCGGGGUUCGAUUCCCCGUGGCGGUACAA